rnacentral:rRNA from 1 species
GGCAACGGGUAACGGGGAAUUAGGGUUCGAUUCCGGAGAGGGAGCCUGAGAAACGGCUACCACAUCCAAGGAAGGCAGCAGGCGCGCAAAUUACCCAAUCCCGAUACGGGGAGGUAGUGACAAUAAAUACUGAUACAGGGCUCUUUUGGGUCUUGUAAUUGGAAUGAGAACAAUCUAAAUCCCUUAACGAGGAACAAUUGGAGGGCAAGUCUGGUGCCAGCAGCCGCGGUAAUUCCAGCUCCAAUAGCGUAUAUUAAAGUUGUUGCAGUUAAAAAGCUCGUAGUUGAACCUUGGGAAUCA